rnacentral:rRNA from 1 species
UACGGGGGGAGCAAGCGUUGUUCGGAUUUACUGGGCGUAAAGGGCGCGUAGGCGGCCUCCGCAAGUCAGUUGUGAAAUCUCCGAGCUUAACUCGGAAAGGUCAACUGAUACUGCGGGGCUAGAGUGCGGAAGGGGCAACUGGAAUUCUUGGUGUAGCGGUGAAAUGCGUAGAUAUCGGAAGGAACAUCAGUGGCGAAAGCGGCUUCCUGGACCAGCACCGACGUUCAGGCACGAAAGCGUGGGGAGCAAACAGG